rnacentral:rRNA from 1 species
AGGGCGCACGGUGGAUGCCUUGGCACUAGAAGCCGAUGAAGGACGUUACUAACGACGAUAUGCUUUGGGGAGCUGUAAGUAAGCUUUGAUCCAGAGAUUUCCGAAUGGGGAAACCCAGCAUGAGUUAUGUCAUGUUAUCGAUAUGUGAAUACAUAGCAUAUCAGAAGGCACACCCGGAGAACUGAAACAUCUUAGUACCCGGAGGAAGAGAAAGAAAAUUCGAUUCCCUUAGUAGCGGCGAGCGAAACGGGAAGAGCCCAAACCAACAAGCUUGCUUGUUGGGGUUGUAGGACACUCUAUACGGAGUUACAAAGGACGACAUUAGACGAAUCAUCUGGAAAGAUGAAUCAAAGAAGGUAAUAAUCCUGUAGUCGAAAAUGUUGUCUCUCUUGAGUGGAUCCUGAGUACGACGGAGCACGUGAAAUUCCGUCGGAAUCUGGGAGGACCAUCUCCUAAGGCUAAAUACUCUCUAGUGACCGAUAGUGAACCAGUACCGUGAGGGAAAGGUGAAAAGCACCCCGGAAGGGGAGUGAAAUAGAACCUGAAACCGUGUGCUUACAAGUAGUCAGAGCCCGUUAAUGGGUGAUGGCGUGCCUUUUGUAGAAUGAACCGGCGAGUUACGAUUUGAUGCAAGGUUAAGCAGUAAAUGUGGAGCCGUAGCGAAAGCGAGUCUGAAUAGGGCGUUUAGUAUUUGGUCGUAGACCCGAAACCAGGUGAUCUACCCUUGGUCAGGUUGAAGUUCAGGUAACACUGAAUGGAGGACCGAACCGACUUACGUUGAAAAGUGAGCGGAUGAACUGAGGGUAGCGGAGAAAUACCAAUCGAACCUGGAGAUAGCUGGUUCUCUCCGAAAUAGCUUUAGGGCUAGCCUCAAGUGAUGAUUAUUGGAGGUAGAGCACUGUUUGGACGAGGGGCCCCUCUCGGGUUACCGAAUUCAGACAAACUCCGAAUGCCAAUUAAUUUAACUUGGGAGUCAGAACAUGGGUGAUAAGGUCCGUGUUCGAAAGGGAAACAGCCCAGACCACCAGCUAAGGUCCCAAAAUAUAUGUUAAGUGGAAAAGGAUGUGGCGUUGCCCAGACAACUAGGAUGUUGGCUUAGAAGCAGCCAUCAUUUAAAGAGUGCGUAAUAGCUCACUAGUCGAGUGACACUGCGCCGAAAAUGUACCGGGGCUAAACAUAUUACCGAAGCUGUGGAUUGUCCUUUGGACAAUGGUAGGAGAGCGUUCUAAGGGCGUUGAAGCAUGAUCGUAAGGACAUGUGGAGCGCUUAGAAGUGAGAAUGCCGGUGUGAGUAGCGAAAGACGGGUGAGAAUCCCGUCCACCGAUUGACUAAGGUUUCCAGAGGAAGGCUCGUCCGCUCUGGGUUAGUCGGGUCCUAAGCUGAGGCCGACAGGCGUAGGCGAUGGAUAACAGGUUGAUAUUCCUGUACCACCUAUAAUCGUUUUAAUCGAUGGGGGGACGCAGUAGGAUAGGCGAAGCGUGCGAUUGGAUUGCACGUCUAAGCAGUAAGGCUGAGUAUUAGGCAAAUCCGGUACUCGUUAAGGCUGAGCUGUGAUGGGGAGAAGACAUUGUGUCUUCGAGUCGUUGAUUUCACACUGCCGAGAAAAGCCUCUAGAUAGAAAAUAGGUGCCCGUACCGCAAACCGACACAGGUAGUCAAGAUGAGAAUUCUAAGGUGAGCGAGCGAACUCUCGUUAAGGAACUCGGCAAAAUGACCCCGUAACUUCGGGAGAAGGGGUGCUCUUUAGGGUUAACGCCCAGAAGAGCCGCAGUGAAUAGGCCCAAGCGACUGUUUAUCAAAAACACAGGUCUCUGCUAAACCGUAAGGUGAUGUAUAGGGGCUGACGCCUGCCCGGUGCUGGAAGGUUAAGAGGAGUGGUUAGCUUCUGCGAAGCUACGAAUCGAAGCCCCAGUAAACGGCGGCCGUAACUAUAACGGUCCUAAGGUAGCGAAAUUCCUUGUCGGGUAAGUUCCGACCCGCACGAAAGGCGUAACGAUUUGGGCACUGUCUCAACGAGAGACUCGGUGAAAUCAUAGUACCUGUGAAGAUGCAGGUUACCCGCGACAGGACGGAAAGACCCCGUGGAGCUUUACUGUAGCCUGAUAUUGAAAUUCGGCACAGCUUGUACAGGAUAGGUAGGAGCCUUUGAAACGUGAGCGCUAGCUUACGUGGAGGCGCUGGUGGGAUACUACCCUAGCUGUGUUGGCUUUCUAACCCGCACCACUUAUCGUGGUGGGAGACAGUGUCAGGCGGGCAGUUUGACUGGGGCGGUCGCCUCCUAAAAGGUAACGGAGGCGCUCAAAGGUUCCCUCAGAAUGGUUGGAAAUCAUUCAUAGAGUGUAAAGGCAUAAGGGAGCUUGACUGCGAGACCUACAAGUCGAGCAGGGUCGAAAGACGGACUUAGUGAUCCGGUGGUUCCGCAUGGAAGGGCCAUCGCUCAACGGAUAAAAGCUACCCCGGGGAUAACAGGCUUAUCUCCCCCAAGAGUUCACAUCGACGGGGAGGUUUGGCACCUCGAUGUCGGCUCAUCGCAUCCUGGGGCUGUAGUCGGUCCCAAGGGUUGGGCUGUUCGCCCAUUAAAGCGGUACGCGAGCUGGGUUCAGAACGUCGUGAGACAGUUCGGUCCCUAUCCGUCGUGGGCGUAGGAAAUUUGAGAGGAGCUGUCCUUAGUACGAGAGGACCGGGAUGGACAUACCUCUGGUGUACCAGUUGUCGUGCCAACGGCAUAGCUGGGUAGCUAUGUGUGGACGGGAUAAGUGCUGAAAGCAUCUAAGCAUGAAGCCCCCCUCAAGAUGAGAUUUCCCAACUUCGGUUAU